UACCAGCACCCCGAGUGGUCGGGACGUUUAUUGGGCCUAAAGCAUCCGUAGCCGGUUCUACAAGUCUUCCGUUAAAUCCACCUGCUCAACAGAUGGGCUGCGGAAGAUACUAUGGAGCUAGGAGGCGGGAGAGGCAAGCGGUACUCGAUGGGUAGGGGUAAAAUCCGUUGAUCCAUUGAAGACCACCAGUGGCGAAGGCGGCUUGCCAGAACGCGCUCGACGGUGAGGGAUGAAAGCUGGGGGAGCAACCGG
rnacentral:rRNA from 1 species